AAGCUUGUUGUCACCACUGCAACUAUGACUGCUCUCUCCAACUGAGAAGUUCUCCCUUUAGAAAGGCUUAGCCCCUCCCACAGGCCAAUUGACCAAAGAUUUCUUCAACUGAAAAUUAUACCUGGAGAAAACAUAACCUAAAAUGAAGAAAUAAAUAAUCAUGGCUUUAACAGAAACAAGUAUGAAAUCAGAAGCAUUAUGACGGAAAAAAAACGUACAAUUCUGACAUGUGACAUCACUUCCUGUUUCCUAUAUGUAUGAUGAUGUGUACAAUGCUCCGGUUGGAAUGUUUGUGGUGGGAAGCCUGGAUGGUCACAGGUUGAAAGACAGUACGCCACCAGGUUCAUUUUGCCGGGUCGAUGACGGACAUGGAACCUAAAUGGUUGCAGGGACCGGUACCAUCAGGACAGCUCCGAGACCCACUGUAGAUGCGUCCACCUGGACCAGGAAACGUUUGUUGAAAUCUGAGCUUCUGAGGACUGGAGAAGAACAUAAACACGGUUUUAAAUUGUUGAAGGCUCUCUCACAUUCCUCAGUCCAACAAAGUGGGUUUCUCUGGCCUUUAGCUGUUAAGGCAAUGAGUGGCACUGCAAUUGUGGCAAAGUCUGGCACGAUAAAAUGAUGGCAAGUUUUUAAAAAUUGUGACAUUUUCUAAAAGUGGUUUAGAGAAGA